UGUGUAUGAUGACACAUCAAUAAUGCUGCAGACUCCAGAAUAAUGCCCAGUUGAGAAGGCAACCUGAAAGAGCCAAAGGUAGA